UACAGAGGGGGCAAGCGUUGUUCGGAAUUACUGGGCGUAAAGGGCGCGUAGGCGGCCUUCUAAGUCGAACGUGAAAUCCCCGGGCUCAACCCGGGAACUGCGUCCGAUACUGGAAGGCUUGAAUCCGGGAGAGGCGUGUGGAAUUCCGGGUGUAGUGGUGAAAUGCGUAGAGAUCCGGAGGAACACCAGUGGCGAAGGCGACACGCUGGGCCGUACCUGACACUGAUGCGCGACAGCAUGGGGAGCAAACAGG
rnacentral:rRNA from 1 species